UACGAAGGGGGCUAGCGUUGUUCGGAAUCACUGGGCGUAAAGCGCACGUAGGCGGACUCUUAAGUCGGUGGUGAAAUCCUGGAGCUCAACUCCAGAACUGCCUUCGAUACUGGGAGUCUUGAGUCCGAGAGAGGUGAGUGGAACUGCGAGUGUAGAGGUGAAAUUCGUAGAUAUUCGCAAGAACACCUGUGGCGAAAGCGGCUCACUGGACCAUAACUGACGCUGAUGCACGAAAGCUGGGGGGAGCAAACAGG
rnacentral:rRNA from 1 species